GGAGAGAUGGCUGAGUGGUCGAAAGCGGCCGCCUCGAAAGCGGCUAUCCCGUGUAAACGGGAUCGAGGGUUCGAAUCCCUCUCUCUCCUCCA
rnacentral:tRNA from 1 species